UUAAUGAUACGGCGACCACCGAGAUCUACACUCUUUCCCUACACGACGCUCUUCCGAUCUGAUAAGCUGCGAAAAGCUUCGGGGAGGAGCACAUAUCCAUUGAUCCGGAGAUAUCUGAAUGGGGAAACCCGGCAGAGGAAACCUCUGUCAGCGUGCAGUGAAUACAUAGCUGUACGUGGGGAACCCGGGGAACUGAAACAUCUAAGUACCCGGAGGAAGAGAAAGAAAAUUUAUCGAUUUCCAAAGUAGCGGCGAGCGAAAUGGAAAGAGCCCAAACCGUGAUGCGUGCAUCGCGGGGUUCGGACUGCGUUGUGGCAGACGUAAGAUAGGAGAACGGACUGGGAAGUCCGGCCGGAGAGAGUGAAAGCCUCGUAUCCGAAAUCCCAAGUCGCCUAGCAGGAUCCAGAGUAGGACGAGACACGAGAAACCUUGUCUGAACGAGCGGGGACCACCCCGUAAGGCUAAAUACUUCUUAGUGACCGAUAGCGCAUAGUACUGUGAAGGAAAGGUGAAAAGUACCCCGGGAGGGGAGUGAAAGAGAACCUGAAACCCUGUGUCUACAAGCUGUGGGACCUCUUUAUAUGAGGGACUGCGUACUUUUUGUAGAACGGUCCGGCGAGUUGUGCGUACUGGCGAGGUUAAGGACUUAAGGUCUGGAGCCGAAGUGAAAGCAAGCGUUAAUAGCGCGUCAAGUCAGUGAGUGCAGACCCGAAACCGGGUGACCUAUCCAUGUCCAGGUUGAAGCUUCCGUAAGAGGAAGUGGAGGACCGAACCCACAUCCGUUGAAAAGGGUGGGGAUGAGGUGUGGAUAGCGGAGAAAUUCCAAUCGAACCCGGAGAUAGCUGGUUCUCCUCGAAAUAGCUUUAGGGCUAGCCUCAUGAGAGUCUUAUGGAGGUAGAGCACUGAAUUGCCUAGGGGGCGUCAAAGCUUACCAAAGCAUAUCAAACUCCGAAUGCCAUCAAGAUGAUUCAUGGGAGUCAGACCAUACGAGAUAAGUUGGAUGGUCAAAAGGGAAAGAGCCCAGACCUACAGCUAAGGUCCCAAAGUGCGUGUUAAGUGGAAAAGGAUGUGGGGAUUCUAAGACAACUAGGACGUUGGCUUAGAAGCAGCCAUUCAUUGAAAGAGUGCGUAAUAGCUCACUAGUCGAGAGUCCCUGCGCCGAAAAUGUCCGGGGCUGAAACACGACACCGAAGCUUAGGAAUGUGUAAACAUUGGUAGAGGAGCAUUGCUAGCGGGAUGAAGCCAUACCGUAAGGAGUGGUGGACUGCUAGGAAGAGAGAAUGCCGGAAUGAGUAGCGAGAUGAAGGUGAGAAUCCUUCAGGCCGAAUAUCUAAGGUUUCCAGAGUAAAGCUGAUCUGCUCUGGGUAAGUCGGGACCUAAGGCGAGGUCGAAAGACGUAGUCGAUGGAUAACAGGUUGAAAUUCCUGUACCGCAUAUAAACAGAACUGUGGGGACACAGACAGGGAAUGGAAUCCGGGAGUGGAGAUCCCGGUGCAAGCGAGGUAGGAGUGCUGUUGGCAAAUCCGCAGCACGAUCUGAAGACGUGAUGCGUACCGAACAUAAGUAGGGAAGUCCAGGCCCCUGGCUGUCAAGAAAAGCCGCUAUCGUUUUAUAUGUGCCCGUACCGCAAACCGACACAGGUGGAUGAGGAGAGAAUCCUAAGGCCGACGGGAGAAGUAUUGUUAAGGAACUCGGCAAAAUGACUCCGUAACUUCGGGAGAAGGAGUGCCAUGAGAGUGGCCGCAGAGAAAUGGCCCAAGCAACUGUUUAGCAAAAACACAGGUCUAUGCAAAACCGCAAGGUGAAGUAUAUGGGCUGACGCCUGCCCGGUGCUGGAAGGUUAAGGGGAGAGGUUAGCGCAAGCGAAGCUUUGAACUUAAGCCCCAGUAAACGGCGGCCGUAACUAUAACGGUCCUAAGGUAGCGAAAUUCCUUGUCGGGUAAGUUCCGACCC
rnacentral:rRNA from 1 species